GACGACGCUGGCGGCGUGCCUAAUACAUGCAAGUCGAGCGGGGAUUAUGCUUGAUCGCUUCGGUGAGACGGCAUAUAUCCUAGCGGCGGACGGGUGAGUAACGCGUGGGUAAUCUACCUCGUAGUUCGGGAUAACAGGCCGAAAGGCUUGCUAAUACCGGAUGAGUUCAUGCUUAUGCAUAUAGGCAUGAAGAAAGGGCUAGCCCGCUAUGAGAUGAGCCCGCGUCCCAUUAGCUUGUUGGUGGGGUAAUGGCCUACCAAGGCAACGAUGGGUAGCCGGCCUGAGAGGGUGUACGGCCACACUGGGACUGAGACACGGCCCAGACUCCUACGGGGGGCAGCAGUAGGGAAUUUUCGGCAAUGGGCGAAAGCCUGACCGAGCGACGCCGCGUGAGGGACGAAGGCCUUCGGGUUGUAAACUUCUUUGAUGAGGGACGAAGGAAGUGACGGUACCUCAAAAACAAGCCACGGCUAACUACGUG
rnacentral:rRNA from 1 species